UAUCUCGAACUUUCACGAUAAAAAGUUCAUUUACCAGAAAUUCAAUAUAUGUUUCAGUGAGAGGGGCUCAAGUUUGUAUGGACGUCUAUGGGAAAACAUUUGGUGGUGUUUGUCCUAUAGAAUAGCAAUGCAUUCUCAAGAAGGAAGAGAUUAAUGAACCCUACCCUCUUACAAUGAACAACAUAUGGACACUCUCCAGAUGAUCCCUUUGCUUUCAUUGAGAGUUCCAUGAUGUGGGUCUGAUUGACUGGGGUGUGAAAUGUAACAGCCAAUGGUCUACCUAAGCUAGAACUGUCGGUCCCAAUAUUCAAGAGGAAAAGGUCCUACAUAAACAAACACAUGGGCGCAGACAUUUUGGACACCCAAAGUUGUGC